AACGAACGCUGGCGGCAGGCUUAACACAUGCAAGUCAAACGCACCGCAAGGUGAGUGGCAGACGGGUGAGUAACGCGUGGGAACCUACCCCUUGGUACGGGAUAGCUCCGGGAAACUGGAGAUAAUACCGUAUGUGACCUGAGGGUCAAAGACUCAUCGCCAAGGGAUGGGCCCGCGUCGGAUUAGCUAGUUGGUGGGGUAACGGCCUACCAAGGCGACGAUCCGUAGCUGGUCUAAGAGGAUGAUCAGCCACAUUGGGACUGAGACACGGCCCAAACUCCUACGGGAGGCAGCAGUGGGGAAUAUUGGACAAUGGGCGCAAGCCUGAUCCAGCCAUGCCGCGUGAGUGAUGAAGGCCCUAGGGUUGUAAAGCUCUUUCACCGGGGACGAUAAUGACGGUACCCGGAGAAGAAGCCCCGGCUAACUUCGUGCCAGCCGCCGCCGUAA
rnacentral:rRNA from 1 species